GUUUCUGUAGUGUAGUGGUUACCACGUUUGGUUUAUAUGCAAAAGGUCCCUGGUUCAAAACCAGGUAGAAACA